rnacentral:rRNA from 1 species
UACAGAGGUCCCAAGCGUUGUUCGGAUUCACUGGGCGUAAAGGGUGCGUAGGUGGUGAGGUAAGUCGGAUGUGAAAUCUCCGAGCUCAACUCGGAAAUGGCAUUGGAAACUACCUUGCUCGAGGGUUGGAGGGGGGACUGGAAUGCUUGGUGUAGCAGUGAAAUGCGUAGAUAUCAAGCGGAACACCAGUGGCGAAGGCGAGUCCCUGGACAACUCCUGACACUGAGGCACGAAAGCGUGGGGAGCAAACAGG